AGGCCGCGCUCCCGGCUGAGCACGGUGUCACGGGUGCUGCAGCCCACUGCGGAGCAACUUCGGGUCAUCUUCUUGUUACGUGGGGCCCCACCUUCGGGGUUCCCGCGACAGCAUGAAUCACGACCACUUUAGCUCCGCCCGUUGACUCUGCGGCUACGACCUUUAUUUGUCACGAAAGGCGGGCUUUAGAGGCGCGGGACUUCCACACUUCCUCUCCGAAGGCCCUGCGCCGGUGCCGUAGCCAAUGACAGGCCACGUUGUGUCCCAGCAGCCAAUCGGAAGGGCCUGAGCCUGAAGACGUGCAUUUGACCGCUCCUCCCUCCGCGUUGGAGGCGGAAUAGUGGGUUUUGCUGCAACCGGUUUAUUUUCCUUCUGUUUUCACCCAUUCGGGCACAAUCUGGCGCCAUCGUCCUUCUUGUGAGGCCAAGCCUGAAAAUGCGAAGCAGAGAGGCAGGACCAAAAUUGAGGCGAAUCCGGGAACCUGCCAAUGGGUCUCCGGGUGCGGUCUCUGAAACUGGAGGAUAUCGGGAGGAAAGGCUCUCCGAUGCGGAGAUAAUGGGGAAGCUCUUGGCAUGGUUGGCUGUAGGUAUGUGAUACCGGAGGAGCAGGAGUCAAAUAGGAUACGCCGACUUUUAAUUCAAGGAACCCUUUUCUGAAACACUUUGCCACAAUGAAGGAAAUAAGGAAUUGUACUCUCAGAGAUGUUGAGAAAAGAUACAUGGGUCUUGGAAGAUAAUUACUCAAAAUAUGCAGGGAAGGAAUAAAAUUGAAGGGUGUUUUUCUUAGAGAACAUCAUUUGUCAUAUUUAUUUGAUCAAGAAGUUGAAGAUUUAUGUAAUAAGGUAUGGGACUUACACAUUUAUCUUGAUAAAAGAACACAGAAAAGGUCAGGUAUGAGCAGAAAAUUGACAUUUAUUUCAGCCUAAUGUGGAUACUGUACUCUGAAUUAAAAAUUUCUUUUCCUUACUCUUCCAGCUUUUAAAGAUAAGUAUUAUUUCAAAAUAGUAUUUUUUUUAAUUAAUAGAUUCAAUUCAGGAAAGGCAUUGGAGGGGGUGGAGCUUUUAACUUUGACAGUCUCACUCUGUUGCCCAGGCUGGAGUGCAGCGGCGCAAUCUCUGCUCACUGCAAUCUCUGCCUCCUGGGUUCAAAUAGUUAUUGUGGCCCAGCUUCCCAAGUGGCUGGGAUUAGAGGCGCAUGCCACCACACCCAGCUAAUUUUUUUUAUUAAGUAGAGACCAUGUUUUGCCAUGUUGGCCAGACUGGUCUCAAACUUCCAGCCACCAACCUCAGCCUCCCAAAGUGCUGGGAUUAUAGUCAUAAGCCACCACACCUGGCUGUUGGUUAUCUUUUCUUAGAAAUAAUGAUAUAAUCUUUUCAGCACCUGAUAUUCUUAAAGAUCCAGGGUUUACAAAUGACUGUUAGAUAUGCCAAGGAUGACUAGCCUAUAACUUAAGGAACUGUUCAGGAACAGUAGAAAAGAAGGUGAUAGGAAACUGGGAAUCUUAAAUCUAAUACUAGUUCUGUCAUGAAUUAGGCUUGUUAUUGUAGUUGUUUCUCAAAUUUAAGAAAAUAUGAGGGGUCUUGAAAAAGUGCAUGGAAAAUGCAUAUCAUGAAAUAACUAUGCAUGGAUUUCAAAAUUUUUGGACCAAAAUAAACUCCUACUAACUUGUUAUAACAUGUCUGAACAGGAUCUAGUUUGAAGCACUAAGAAGAAUAAGACAUCAGUUUGAAAAGAGGCUCUAUCAGAAUAACACGAAUUCUGCUAAAAUUGAAGCAAGAACAAACAUCAAAUAUAUGUUGACACUUGGGUGGAAGAAUGGUGAACUAAUUGAUGCUUUAUGAAAAGUCGAUAGGGACAAUGCUCCAAAGAAAUCAGUUUACAAAUGGAUAACUCGUUUUAAGAAGGCAUAAGGUAAUGUUGAAGAAGAAGCCCACAGUGGCAGAUCAUCCACAUCAGUUUGUGAGAAAAAAGUUAGUUCAUGGCGUAAUUGAAGAAAACCAACAAUUAACAGCAGAAACAACAGCCAACACCAUAGACAUCUCAGUUGGUUCACCUUACACAAUUUUGACUGGAAAAGUUCAGCAAACUUUAUACCUGAUAGGUACCAAAACCAUUGCACCCAGAUCAGCUACAGACAAGAAUAGAGCUUUCAAUGGAAAUUUUAAAUAAGUGGGAUCAGGAUCUUGAAGCCUUUCAUUGAAAAAUUGUAACAGGAGAUGAAACAUGGCUUUACCAGCGCAAUCCUGAAGACAAAACACAAAGCAGUGGUUACCAAGAUAAGUAGUUCAGUUAAAGCACAAGAGGACUGGUUGAGAGCAAAGGUCAUGACAACAGCUUUUGAAUGCUCAAGGCAUUUUGCUUGUUGACUUUCUGUAGGGCCAAAGAAUGGUAACGUGCUUAUCAUGGGAGUGUUUUGAGAAACUUAGUCAAAGCUUCAGCAGAAAAAUCCCCGAGAAAGACCAGAGAGUUCUUCACCACAACAAUGUUCCUGCUAAUCCCUCUCAUCAAACAAGGGCAUUUUGCAAGAGUUUUGAUGGGAAAUCACUAGGCAUCCACCCUACAGUCCUGGUUUGGCACCUUCUGACUUUUUGUUUCCUAAUCUUAAAAAAAUUUUUAAGGGCAGUACAUUUUUCUCAAGUUAAUGUAUAAAGAAACUGCAUUGAUGUAGAUAAAUUCCCAGAACUCUCAGUUCUUUAGGGAUGGACUAAAUAGCUGGUAUCAUCACUUACAAAAGUGUCUUGAAUGCUAUAGAGCUAAUGUUCAGAAAUAUAGUUUAUAUUUUUUAUCUUUUAACCAUUUUUCCACAAACUUUUUGAAGUCUCCUUGAAUAUGUACCAUUUAUAAAGGGGAAAAAUUCUGUGACUACUCAUGUUGACUUAAUGCUGACUUAAUUUUCUGUUUUGUAAAUAUAUACAAACAAGUUGAUACAAAUUUUGUUUAUAGCCCUUAAACAAAUUUGUGAAAUAAAUGCAUUCAGAAACAA
rnacentral:lncRNA from 1 species